GUGCCCGCUUCAGCAGCACACGUACUAAAGUCGGAAUGAUCCAGAGCAGGUUAGCACGGCCUCUGCGCAAGGAUGCCAUGCAGAUGCCAUGUGGUUCCUCCGGGCCUU